UGCAUCGGCCGGGAAUCGAACCCGAGCCGCCCACGUGGCAGGCGAUCAUUCUACCACUGAACCACCGAUGC
rnacentral:tRNA from 1 species